GUACAUUGUUGAACACAGGAGGGAUAGUAUGAUUGCAGCGGUGCUAUUGUGAUGGUCGGAGUCAUUUUCUUGUUCCUUCCGCAAAUGGACAUCAAUUUGGAGGACUUCAUUAAAGAGGAAUAAAUUGAUUUCAAUUGCAUGAGGAUUUUUGGUUCCAAAGUAUUAUAGACCUAUGGAUCAAAUUGAGCUUCAUCUUAGGUUGUAGCCAAUCCUUAGAGAACCAGUCAGAACAAUAGAAGGAGACACGCUUUCAUGCUCUGUCGGGUGCAGUAUUGUAGUCGGGGGUAUGUACGCCGGAUAUAACCAGGCACUUAAUUAUUUGGGAAGAGUGAGCUGGUUUUCAGCAAGGAUAACAGCAAUUGAUUUAGGAAUCGCUAAUGUUUACUGGAUUAUAUGAUCAUCGUCAUAAUCCAAUCUGGAAUCUCCUCUUUUGAACUUGGACCUUGUACAUGUACACUGGAAAAGCCAAUCAUCCUAUCAUUGUGCAAAUAAGUGACUUUCUUUUUGUUACUUCCAAAGUUGGACUCGAGUCGGAUUUAUUCAAUAGACUCCUGGCGUCUACCAUAAUUUACAAAAUCAUCCCGUUGUUUGGAUCCUUGGACUGGGACCGUUCUAUUGGUGAGUACAAAAGAGCGCCUGCAGACCGGUUCGCUAGCAGUUCAUCUAUUAGUUAUAAUGCUCAUAUUCUUUGACCUAAUUUUCCUUGCGGUAUUUUUGGAGGUGCAGUGAAGCGUGUUUGAUGUACGUAUGCUAGCCUUGUUAGGUCUAUAUAGUGGUUGAUGGAUAUUUUAUGUGUUUGAUUGAAUAGGCCAGCUAUCAAUCAUAUUUUAGAGGCAAUUCAUUGGGGUCAUUUGCUUUAUGCCUGGGAUUAAGAUCGCGUGAAAAAUUGAUGAGGUGUUCUAUUUCUUUUGAGAGGUGAUUUGUGGGGGUUUGACCAGGCUUUUAUUCAUAGGAUUGACUCCAUUUGCUUCCAUUAAUAAAAUUCUAUAAGAGAAAAUAUGACGCAGAGAUAAAUAUCUAAUUUGUGAUUAAUACACGACAUAGGAUGUCAUUUCCUUGUAUCUUUAUUGUAAACUUAGCAAUAUUACAUCAUGGAGCUAUUAUAGCUCCAUGAUUACAUACAGGCCUAGGCCUUUAUACGCACAGGCUCAAUGCAGAAGCUCUAAUAUAUAAUCUGAUUACUGUUGUCUCAGUUAAAUGGAUCAGUAUUUUGUGUUAAUGGGUUUUAUGGUUUAACUGUAAGACCAAUCAAUGACCAAAAGACUCAGCUUUUAAUCUCUUUUGAAAAAUUGGUUUCAAGGAUUAGUAUAGACUGUAUUUGAGUUAUGGAUGUUAAAUGUAAGAUUAAAGCAGGAGAGGUAGGAUUAAGUUCUUUCUUUAAUUUUGUGUUGGUGUUUCUAUCAGGGCAUAGUCUCUUCUUUAUGUUAGUAACAGCUCUGGGAUUUCAGCCAGGAAAUAGAAUACUCUGCUUGACUUGGCUAUUGAUUUUUUACAUACCAUUUUGGUUUCAACCCAGGAGAAUGAUUCUAUUAUUGAUGCAGAUGAUGAAAAAAAUUGCAGUCUGUGUUGUGGAAACUAAACAUGAUGGCUCAAAAUUAUGUAGGCCAAGGAGUUGCUAGAUAUGCGUUUCAAGUUGGGGUUGCCUGUUGAGAAGUGUAAACAUAUUUCUGGGAUAUUGUUUUUAAAAUUAUUUUGUUAACAGCUUAUUAUUUUCAACAUUUAAAUUAACUUUGAUCAUAUUUCUAAUGAAAAAUAUUGUUUGACACAUGGCUACUUGAAAAGUUUUACUUGCAGCUUUGAAGGAUAUCUUCACACCUCAGAUCAGUUUAGGGCUGUCUGCACCAACACCGCUCUACGAGAUGCAUAGGCCUAGUUUGAUGUAUUAUCAGAUGAUACAGCUGUUUUUGUAGUUGAGAAAAGGCACUUUGGAUGUACAUACCAGGUGAUUUUGGUGAACUGGAAAUUUCCAGGAAAUUCCCCUUGGCAAAGACAUUCAAUGUGUUGCAGGUUCAGGGGCAAAGUAUUAAUUCCAGUACUUUUACCAAAUUUGGUGAAGAAACAUGCUAAAUAUAUUUUAUGGCCGGUGUCUGGUGAUAAUGUGCGGUAUAAUUGAUGUUUACUAACUAUUAAAGUCACUUUUCAUGACUUUGACUAUCAGUGAUUUUCCUUUAUUCAAAUUAUGAUCAAUGAACUUGUUAAAUUUCUAUAAAUGUAGUACAUG